ACCGGGUGGCUGGACCGAGGGCGGCGCGGGGAGUCCCGGAGGGUGGCGCCGGCCUCUGCUCGGGGCUCGCGGGGAACACCAGGGUCGCCCGGCGCCCACCGUGUCCGCCUCGCUCCGCGCGCGCGCCUGAGGCCGUCCCGAACCGCACCGGAGACAAAGGCGGCGGGGUCGCGCGCGGCGGCGCCGGGCGGAGGCGGGGAUCCCGGCCUGGCCCGGUUCCGGUCGGGCGGGCUGGCUGACUGCGGCCUAACCGCGGCCGGGUCCUCGCUGCUUCCCGCGCUUUAGACUUGAUUUCUCGCCUCUGUUGGAGCCCGGCCUUCCGGAGGCAUUCGUCCCAGGAGGAAGAAAGGCGUCCCGCGCUCCCCGAGGGCUGCCCGGGGUGAGGGGGUGCCCGGCCGGGGCGUUGGCACCCACCCGGGGUGGGGUGCGCAUCACGCGAGGGGGAGACCCGCCGCUCUGACUGUCUCUGCUUUCCGCGUCUCAGCGCCGCGCGCUGGCUGCACAGUGUAAACUCACUGUGACAUUGGGAACUGUCGUGCCAAGGUGCCAUGCUGCCCCGAUGGGAACUGUCUCUUUACCUGCUUGCAUCACUGGGCUUCCACUUCUAUUCUUUUUAUGAAGUCUACAGAGUCUCCAGAGAACAUGAAGAGGAAUUGGAUCAAGAAUUUGAGCUGGAGACGGACGCUUUAUUUGGAGGAUUAAAGAAGGACCCAACAGACUUUGAGUGGAGCUUCUGGAUGGAGUGGGGGAAACAGAGGCUGGCGUGGCUGCUGCUGGGCCACACAGUGGUAUCACAGGCGGCGGCCAUGCUGCUUGCGAAAAAGCACAGACCCUGGAUUCUCAUGGCCUACGGGAUGUGGGCCUGCUGGAGUGUGCUGGGGGCCCCUGGAGUGGUCAUGGUUCUCCUCCACACCAUCAUCGCGUUCUGUGUGGCCCAGUUCCGGUCUCUGUUCCUGUCCUGGCUCUGUUCUCUGCUCCUGCUGUCCACACUGAGGCUCCAGGGUGUGGAGGACAUAAAGAGGAGGUGGUAUCAGACUGACAGUGAGUACUACCUGUUGCAGUUCACACUGACUGUCCGCUGUCUGUACUAUACCAGCUUCAGCCUGGAGUUUUGUGGGCAGCAGCUGCCUGCCACAUGUGCCUCCCACUCCUUUCCUUGGAUGCUGGCCUACGUCUUCUAUUAUCCUGUCUUCCACAAUGGGCCUAUCCUCAACUUCCCAGAGUUCUUCAAACAGAUGCAGCAGCCAGAGCUCUGUUCACUGAAGGACAGCCUCUGCAUCCUGACCUGUGGUCUGGGCCGCCUGAUGUGUUGGUGGGUACUGGCUGAGCUGAUGGCCCACCUCUUGUAUAUGCACGCCAUCUACGGCAGCAUCCUCCUCCUGCAGGACGUCAACUGCUGGACAUUAGGAGGACUGGCAUUGGCCCAGGUGCUCUUCUUCUAUGUGAAAUACUUGGUGCUCUUUGGCAUCCCAGCACUGCUCAUGCGUCUGGAUGGACUCCACCCGCCGCCCCUCCCUCGCUGCGUGAGCACCAUGUUUAGUUUCACGGGCAUGUGGAGAUAUUUUGAUGUUGGACUACAUAAUUUCUUAAUCAGGUACGUGUACAUUCCACUGGGUGGGUCUCAGCGUGGCCUACUGGGGACUCUGCUUUCCACUGCGAUGACGUUUGCAUUUGUGAGCUACUGGCAUGGCGGCUACAACUACCUCUGGUGCUGGGCAGCACUCAACUGGCUGGGAGUCACAGUGGAGAACGGGUUCCGGAGGCUCCUGGACACGCCCUGUGUACGGGAUGGCUUGGCCAGACACCUCUCCCCACAAGCUCGCCGCCGGCUCCACGCUGCCCUGGCGUCUUGUUCUACCUCGAUGCUGAUCCUGUUCAACCUGGUGUUUCUUGGGGGCAAUCAGGUUGGAAAAACCUAUUGGGACAGGAUUUUUGUGCAAGGCUUAUGUCCUCAGCGUUCACCCAGCUGUGACAUGUGUCAGGACCCACUUCGACGGCUGAGUCUUACUGCAUUGGACGUGGACCCUGACCUGUUUAUCCACCCUCUGCCAGUGGACCCGGGCUGUCUCCACCUUUCGGCUCCUGUGGGUGAGGCUGUGAGUGCAGCACACAGACACUUCUUCCAGUCCUGCGCUGAGUUCUCUUUGGUGUGUGUAUUGUGCUUCUCUGGUUCAGCUUGGAGGAACCUCCACACUGUUUCCACAGUAUGCCGUUUCACACCUUUCAAAGAGCCUUUCAUAGACCCCUGCUCCUAUGCAUAUCUUCAGUUUCCACAAAUUCAGUUUGCUUUCCCCUUCCCACAGCCUGUAUUGAUGAUCUUUCCUUCACAAUAGAGCCUCUGCCUUUUGGUCCUUUGAGGCUAAUUUAAUUUUCAGAGAAUUGCUCAGCCAUGAUAAUCUCAAGUAAAAUUAUACUAGUCCUUGCUAUGUCAUAAUCCUGUCUUAUUAGCUCCAGGUGUUACACACUGGCCAGUACCCUAUUAACAAUGCGAUGCACCCAUGACAUCCUAUUAACUCCACCUGCUAUGUCACCUGUGUUGGUCCUCUUCAUUGACUGAUCGUGCUGUAUGUCCUCCACGUGUGCUCUGAGCAUAGCUGUGGAAUGGCCUUCCUCUUAACUCUGUAUGUGGCCCAGUAUUCUGCAGCUCAGGUCUGGCUUGCUGCCAUCUUCUUUAUUGUGUCUUCAGUGAUGCCUGUGUGAUCUGUGAAAAUUCUUUACCCAUUUAGGUCUUGUUAGGGCAAGGUAUCCAGAGCCCUGUGGGAAAUCGCACAUAUCAUUGUCUCUGAGGGACCCAGACUUCAGUGAGCGGCUUCGACCUCACAUACCUUCUUUUUUUUUCAAAUCCACUUUAUUCAUAGAUGAAAAAAAAGGAGAAGGAAAAAACUGCAACAAAAUUUUAAAGUACAUCAAUCAGGAGACAACAAUGGCUGGCCUUGGGUGACCCUCUCUGUCUUGGGAUUCCUGUACUGCUACUCCCACGUGGGUAUCGCCUGGGCCCAGACAUACACCAUGGACUAAUUCUGCCUUCACUGCCAACCUCCAAGCCAAAUAUACUUUACCCUGAUGUUCUACUCCAAGGUGAUCUCCCAGGAGUUAUCUUCUGGUCAUCGUCUGUUCAGAAUACCUCAUUCCAAGACUGGCACUUGAACUCUCAUAGAUAAUCUGCAACCAGAUAAUAUUAUAACUUUGGAGUCCUAGACAUUUUCUACCCUAAUCUCAGUUUCCUGAGUAACCUGGGGUGAAGGUUAAUAGACUACCCAGAUAUACAUGGUGAUGUGUUGGUAUAGAACCAAGGGUCCUGGCCUUUUCUACUUGUUCUUUACUGCUAGAUAAGUAUACUGCAUGUUUUUUGGUUGAGCACUGGAAUCCUGCUUAGUGAUAAGCCUGUCCUCCUCUGUGUAAUAUUUCUGAGACAUUUUGGUGAUAUGGUAGUGACCCUUUGCUGUGGCCUGUGGUGUGGGCUCUACUGUGCUAGAGCAUCACACAUCAGCUCCUCAGAAGGGAGGUAACAAAGCCAAACUGUAGAAUCAGUUCUUUGGCAUUCCAAGCACUCAAUAUCUGAGGAGUCUGUGACUUUUGAAGUUUAUUUGGCUCCUUGUUCCUGAGAUUUGCAGAGAUGUAUGAACAUGGUCGUUCCUCUGACAGUUAACUGUUUCCCAGUUAAGAAGCAGACUUCAAAAAUCAGAGCAUGAGUGUAUCCACAGAUAGGUGCUAUCAGACAAGUCACAGAAGGUAAGGAGGACUGCCUAUUGGCUUGUCUGCUCUCUCCUCUGAGUUCUAACAGUCAGUGCUACUCCGUGAUUUAUGCUUAAUGGUAUAUACUGCCUCAUUUUGAUGCCAGUAAGAGUAGCCUUUUUGUUACAUAGAAAAUUCCUAUUUUUCCAGAAUUAUUUUGAAUAGUUUGAGGCAAAUAUAUCUAAAUAUACUUAUUUAACUUGACUCAUUCCUCCAGAAAGAUACCAGAUAAGCUACCAACGAUGCCAAAUGGUAGAUGAUUUAGAAUAUUUUUGUUUGGCUUUAACGUUUUUUAGAAGGGAGCUAGAACCUUAAAAAUUUGAAUCCAUUGUGUAAUUGAGAAGCUUUUCUGUAACAUUCCAAAUACAUGCAUUUCCAUCAAGUGACUGGUUCAUGUGGACCUCGUUUUGUCUUAUAUUUGUUCAUUAUUAUCCUUGGGUCUUGGCUGUAAGACGUCCUUCUAGAGUUCAGGACUACUCAUUUUUGUUGACUCCCUUUAUUCCUAGAUGCUUUGCUUGGGACAGAGUUGGAAGGGCACAGUGACCUGGGUUUGGUACAUGGUAUUAGAACAGGCCAGAGAAGGGCAGGUAGACCUGGGAAGUAGUGGCCUCAGCAGCUUCCAUGGAAAAGCAGGAGACUUGAGCAGAAGAUUGUGGGGUACUGGAAAGUUUAAAGGAGGGAUGAGCCUGGGGAAAAUAGAAAGCCCUCAAAUGAUAGAGUAGAACUUUAUGGGGUAGCACUGAGGUAGGACUUGGGGAACAGCCAGAAGGAGUUUAGCUGAAGUUUACUUGGAAAGAAAGGGCUUGCUAAGAUAAAAAGGAGUGUAGAAAUAAUUAUGUGUGUCUAAUGUAUUGUAUAUAUAUGUAAAUAAUACAAAAGAUUCUGAGCUCUUCCAAUGAGAACAUUGAUAUAAAACAAAUUUAUUCAUUCAUUGAACUAUGUUGGAAAAGACAGUGGAUGUAUCUGAAAUAAUCCUCAAUUUCUUUUAAACUAGAUCAUUUAGAGUUCUUAGAAACUUGUGAUUACUGUAUUUACCUCUAUACUUGAGGCUAAAAUAAUGAAUAUAUGUAUUAUGCAGGAGCAUUUUUUUCUUUAAUCCCUAUUGUUAUGAGCUGACAAUACUUGUCUCCAUGUGCAUGUAAACUAACAUCCUAGAGUCUGUUCCACAAAGGAUUGCUGCGGACCCUGGGAAUGCAGAAUGGUUCUGGCUGGGAGCACCUGCCCUGUCCUCAGCGCUAUGCAACUUCAGGCUGAUGCUGGGAAGAGACAAAACAAGCUUUGUGAUCCCCAUCAGCACCAGGACCUUCUGGCUCUGCCCUGGCUAUAUGGGCCAGCCCAGCGGUUCCAAGGAAAAGAAUGGCAUCUGAGAGGGCAGCAAGCCCUUGGUCGUUGUGGUAAAGUCUUGGAACCAUGCAAGAAGAGUUAAAAGCAUUGUUUACAGAUUAGUGUGCAUGCAGUGACAGCAGAAAACCUUUGGUUCUGUGAAAGAUGACAGGCCUAGAGAGAAAAUAUAUCAGAGAUACAUGUCAUGAUCCAUGAUUAGGAGAACAGCAAUCUAGUAGACAGGGCUUCCUCUUAGAGAAACUGAGACUUUAUACUUUGCAUAUAUCUAUAAUAAUGAUAUAACUUUCGACUAAAUAUCAAGGAUUAACCAUAACCUAGUGAUUUUUGUUUUUAGCAGACAUGCCAGGAUGUAUCUACGCAGUGAGGUUUGUUUCAUAGUCAGUGUGAGAAGCCAACUGAUCUCCCCAGUAUCGUGUGUUCCUACCUCAACUCUGAAUUGAGUUAUCAUGUAAAAGGAGCAAUGCCAUGUUUGAAAUGUGGUCCACUGGGUAUUAAACGAGAACUCAGGUUGGCAGUAUUGUGGAGUCUUGCCAUAAGCAAGAAGUAGUCUCAGUUAAAAUCAUAGGACAACUGAAAACAUGUCAGUGGACAAGACUGUUUAGUUCAGGGCAGGCCAUCCUCUACCUUAAUAGCUCUUGAGACCAUCAGUGAAGUCAAGCAAGGGUCAGAACUCAUGUUACUGACACUGAGUCAUGAAGAAAGGAUGCAGUUAUCUUCUUCCUACUCUGUGUUAAAAGGCAGGGAGGUAAAAUGUUGAUAUGCGUUAAGUCAGUGUGCCCUACAAAUUUGCAAUGAUGGCACACUACUAUGGCUUGGACAUAGUUUGUCCCCUAUCAAACUCCUGUUGAAAUUUGAUAGCCAUUGUGGUGGUGCUGGGAGGCACAACCUCUCAAAGUAAUGACAUAAUCAAGAGGGAUUCAUAACCCUCUUAUGGUCAUGCUCACUGUGGUGAGUCCUCAUGGAGCUGGGUAGUCAGCCUGCAUCCCCUUCAAAUUCUAUUUCAGCAGGUGCCCACUUGCCCCUCUGAUCUCUGCAUAGUACAAAGCUGCACCAGGCCCUCAUCACCAGCAGCAGCCACCCUAUGAGGGACUUCACACAAAUCACCAGUCGUGGUUAUUCUAUGAAAGCACCAGAAAUUGGACUGAGACUCGGAUUUUAAAAGCAGUCUGUGCACACUAGGCAGUACUUUACAUUGAUCUUGGUGUCUCUAUAAGUUCUCCAAGAACUACAAUUCUAGGUGCUAUUCCAAGUUAUAGCUUCCCAAAUCUAGAAAAAGAAGAGAAGAUACCACCACCUUCACUCUGUCAUUUAGGGCAGAACACCCAAUGCAAUGUCUUACAGCUAUGUAAGGAAUGACAAAGGCGAGUAUCAUGUAUAAAAUAGUUUAUUACCAUAAUAAAUAAACUCUUUUUUACAAAUA